GUAGGGAAUCUUCCGCAAUGGACGCAAGUCUGACGGAGCAACGCCGCGUGAGUGACGAAGGUUUUCGGAUCGUAAAACUCUGUUGUGAGGGAAGAACACGUACCAACUAACUAUUGGUACCUUGACGGUACCUCACCAGAAAGCCACGGCUAACUACGUGCCAGCAGCCGCGGUAAUACGUAGGUGGCAAGCGUUGUCCGGAAUUAUUGGGCGUAAAGCGCGCGCAGGCGGUUCCUUAAGUCUGAUGUGAAAGCCCACGGCUCAACCGUGGAGGGUCAUUGGAAACUGGGGAACUUGAGUGCAGAAGAGGAAAGUGGAAUUCCACGUGUAGCGGUGAAAUGCGUAGAGAUGUGGAGGAACACCAGUGGCGAAGGCGACUUUCUGGUCUGUAACUGACGCUGAGGCGCGAAAGCGUGGGGAGCAAACAGGAUUAGAAACCCCAGUAGUCC
rnacentral:rRNA from 1 species